CAGAAUAAAAAAGGGACUGAGAAAGGAACUAGCAUUUUUGGGGCACCUGCUGCGUAUCCCACUGUAACUAAAGCAUAUCAUUUAACCUUCACGCCAGCUGAGGGUAGGUAUUAUCCCACUUGUUAAAUCUGAGAAAACUCAGAAAGGUGAAGUCACUUGCCCAAGAACUAAUGGCUAGUAAUGGCAGAAAGGCUGUCCAGUGACCUUUAUGGAGUUAGGUGUAGUCGGUCCUCUGUAUCCAUGUUUUCUGCAUCUGUGGAUUCAACCAACCUCACAUCGAAAAUAUAUUCAUUUAGGCUGGGCAUGGUGGUUCACACCUGUAAUCCCAACACUUUGGGAGGCCAAGGUGGGUGGAUCAGCUGAGGUCAGGAGUUUGAGACCAGCCUGACUGACCAACAUGGUGAAACCCUG
rnacentral:lncRNA from 1 species